rfam:Neotoma lepida isolate 417 scaffold_868, whole genome shotgun sequence.
GUCAGGAUGGCCGAGUGGUCUAAGGCGCCAGACUCAAGGCGACAGCCUUCCCCGUGGGCAUUCUGGUCUCCGAAUGGAGGCGUGGGUUCGAAUCCCACUUCUGACA